UUAUUUGAACUGUUUCCCUUCAUUUUGUGCAGUCAAGAGUUGUACAAUGUGCAGUUGGUGAACGGUCCUAUCAUAUUUUUAUCAGCUAUGUGCUGGUGCUACCUUGCCUCUCAGAGAGACUAAAUUUGAGGAAUGCUGAUGAAUAUAAAUAUCUGAAGCAGAGCAGUUGCUAUUCAGUAACUGGUGUUAAUGAUUCUACAAUGUUUCACACUGUGAUGGAAGCAAUGGAUGUUGUCCAUAUCAGCAAAGAAGAUCAAGAAAAUGUAUUUGCAAUGCUUGCCGCAGUUCUAUGGUUGGGAAACAUUUCCUUUACAGUGAUUGACAAUGAAAACCAUGUUGAAGUUGUUGCUGAUGAAGGUAAACAUUUUAGACUUGCCAUGAUCAA